rnacentral:piRNA from 1 species
AGUCAGUGAUUAACAAAGGAACAAAGAAGG